UACGUAGGGUGCAAGCGUUAAUCGGAAUUACUGGGCGUAAAGCGUGCGCAGGCGGUUCGGAAAGAAAGAUGUGAAAUCCCAGGGCUUAACCUUGGAACUGCAUUUGUGACUGCACGGCUAGAGUGUGUCAGAGGGGGGUAGAAUUCCACGUGUGAGCAGUGAAAUGCGUAGAUAUGUGGAGGAAUACCGAUGGCGAAGGCAGCCCCCUGGGAUAACACUGACGCUCAUGCACGAAAGCGUGGGGAGCAAACAGG
rnacentral:rRNA from 1 species